rnacentral:misc_RNA from 1 species
AACAAGGCGUACCUGCGGACCUGCGGAAGGAUCAUUAUCGAGUUGCAAAACUCCAACCCUUUGUGAACAUACCUCAGUCGUUGCUUCGGCGGUGGACGGCCUGUUUUUCGGAACGGCCGGAAGCCGCCGGAGGUUCCAAACUCGUAUUUUUUAGUGUAUCUCUGAGCCUGAAAACAAAUAAUCAAAACUUUCAGCAAUGGAUCU